rnacentral:rRNA from 1 species
GACGAACGCUGGCGGCGUGCUUAACACAUGCAAGUCGAACGGAAAGGCCCUGCUUUUGUGGGGUGCUCGAGUGGCGAACGGGUGAGUAACACGUGAGUAACCUGCCCUUGACUUUGGGAUAACUUCAGGAAACUGGGGCUAAUACCGGAUAGGAGCUCCUGCUGCAUGGUGGGGGUUGGAAAGUUUCGGCGGUUGGGGAUGGACGCGCGGCUUAUCAGCUUGUUGGUGGGGUAGUGGCUUACCAAGGCUUUGACGGGUAGCCGGCCUGAGAGGGUGACCGGCCACAUUGGGACUGAGUGACGGCCCAGACUCCUACGGGAGGGAGGAGUGGGGAAUGUAGAACAAUGGGCGGAAGCCUGAUGCAGCAACGCCGGGUGCGGGAUGACGGCCUUCGGGUUGUAAACCGCUUUCGCCUGUGACGAAGCGUGAGUGACGGUAAUGGGUAAAGAAGCACCGGCUAACUACGU